CACUAUUUUCCCACCACCACCAUCACUACCACCAGUAAUCAUAACACCAUUUUCCCACCACGACCACCACCACCAAUAAUCAUAACACCACUAUCUUCCCACCAUCACAGUUCCUCAGCUACUGUCAUCCUUCUCUCAGGUUCUUGUUCAUUGUACCUAUACGACUAAGAUGCCCUGCCUUGCAUAGGUUUUUGUCAAAGGUCAGCCCUUGACCACCAUAUCUCCUCACUGAGGACAAUCUGUCUUCGUAGUAUAGCUUCGCUUUUGGAAACUUCUCACAUGGCAUUUGACUUUCUUUUUCUUGAUAUCAGUGAAGAGAGAGAGAGAGGUUUGGCUGUUACAUUGACUUGCAAGGAAAAUCCCACAUUUUGGUGCCCUACAAUGUCAGUUUUGGAUUGUUUCUAAUCCUUUUCCUUAUACACGUGUACACACACACACACACACACUACAAAUGUGGUUUUUCAUCUGAGGAAAAAAAAAAUGAAAUCUCCUUAACCCUUUCGCAUUCAGAUAAUUCUAUCAAACUUAAUGCUUAUUUAUUCAAAUUAGUUAGAAUUAAUUAUGCAUUAUCUCGCUGCUUCUAGAUUUCAAUGAUGUGACAGUAUAUUAUUAGAAUGACAUUGUGUAGGGUAAGUAUAAGUGGCCAGACCUGGUCAGUUUGAACAUAAAACAUGUAGAAGAUUUCAGCCUGAUAUGGCUGGCUUAAAUGCUGAAGGGUCAAAGACAUAUAGUGUUAAAGUCACCAUAUUCUUCAGAAGAAGAAGGCAAAAGGGAAUUGUCCUGCUCUGAAGAUUGCUGUGCUGUUGUUUGUUUUUUUUUUUGUUAUUUUUUUAACACUGUAUAGCUUUAAAGCCAGAUUUUUCUCAGAUAAGAAAACAAAAAACAAAAUGCAACCAUGUGGUUGGUAAGCAAGCUGCUUACCACACAGCCACUCCUGCGCACACACACACACACACACACACACACACAUACACACACUCUCUCUCUCUCUCUCUCUCUCUCUCUCUCUCUCUCACACACACGCAUAUGCGCAUUUAUGUAAUAUAAGACAUUCAAGUGUACACCCCGACACUGGGGUUGCUGUAAUGUUCAUCAAGCUGAAAAUAGCAGCCAAAACUCUCUUGCGUUCACACUAUACAAUCUUGAGAAUGAGAAUACAAAGUGAAGGAUGCACUCCUAGAUAUUGCAAUGCCUGAGGAAAGGAUGUGGUGGUCAAGGUUGGAAUGCAUUUGCAUCAGGGCUAAAAAAAAAAAAACAAACAAA